UCCCACGAUGGGCACACCACCCUGAACACGCUGGAUCACAUCUGGUCUCAGAAGCUAAGCAGGGUCGGGCCCGGGGAGGGCCUGGAUGGAAGACCACCUGGGAAUGGCAGGUGCCGUGGGCU
rnacentral:rRNA from 1 species